ACUCACUCAACUGAGGAGCAUCAUGGAUGACGAUGAUGCCUUAUUUCUUGCUGAUUUGCUGUUGGAGGAAUCGAAGAAUACUCAACCUCAAGAAUCCUCAGAAGUGUCUGGACCGGACAAAUUUUCAUUUGUUUGGGUUGAGGAGGACGAGGAAGGGAAUCCUAUCCCAAAGAGGAGGAGAACAGGGAAGAAGCGGGCAAAGAGUUCAUCCUCAGGUGAGAGACAAUGGUCAAUUGUCAAUUGGGUCAAUGAGUCCUCACAUAUUGCACCCACCCAGUGAAUACAUCCUACUGCGUGGAUCCUCUACUACACUUGG